rnacentral:rRNA from 1 species
CCUACGGGCGGCAGCAGUGGGGAAUUUUGGACAAUGGGCGCAAGCCUGAUCCAGCCAUUCCGCGUGCAGGAUGAAGGCCCUCGGGUUGUAAACUGCUUUUGUACGGAACGAAAAGGUGCUCUCUAAUACAGGGCGCUCAUGACGGUACCGUAAGAAUAAGCACCGGCUAACUACGUGCCAGCAGCCGCGGUAAUACGGAGGGUGCAAGCGUUAAUCGGAAUUACUGGGCGUAAAGCGGGCGCAGGCGGUUUUGUAAGACAGGUGUGAAAUCCCCGGGCUUAACCUGGGAACUGCACUUGUGACUGCAAGGCUGGAGUGCGGCAGAGGGGGAUGGAAUUCCGCGUGUAGCAGUGAAAUGCGUAGAUAUGCGGAGGAACACCGAUGGCGAAGGCAAUCCCCUGGGCCUGCACUGACGCUCAUGCACGAAAGCGUGGGGAGCAAACAGGAUUAGAUACCCUUGUAGUC